GUUACAGUAUGAGCAUAGAUACAUAAGGUACAUGAGGAACAUACAAUUGUUACAGUGUGCUACAGCUCAUGCUUUUGAGACAUAAGCGGCCCAGCCUCUUUUUAUAUUUCGAAUUAACUAUAAGACUAACAUAGCGUAUGUGGUUUAUUUGUUUGGGCGUGGUAUUAGGGAGUCGUGAGAUAUAAUCCACAUUACGCCAUAGCCUGCUGUGGGGGGGUCAGAAUGUCUAACUGUGGUGUUUCAAUACAGCUGCUUGAUGUGCUUAUAAUGUUGAGGGCCCUGUGCCCACCCUGGCGACCCAAAGUGCGAACAAAGUAAC